AAAGCAGGCUGCAAUUACAGUGCUUCGCUCGUUCCGUGGGAGUACUGUCAUUUUCCUGCUGAGAGCAAUUCUGUUAAUGUCGUCUGGUUUUACCUGCCUGUCGGUGAAACCGUUUGUCCUUAACAUGUACAAGU